UCUCUCAGCACAACAACCCUUUCCUUAAACCCUAACAUUCAUCAGCUUCAGACAAAAGAAAAGAAAGAAAGAAGAAAAGAAAGGAAGAGGGAAAGAAGGAAAGGGGGAGGAAGAGAGGGAGAUCUGAAGGUGAGGGAGUGCCGGUGGAGGGGCGCCAGAGUUGGUGGGCCACGCCAUCGCGUCGCCUUGGCCGUCGUCGAUGGAGCAGAGACGCGAGCAGAGGAGAAGCCACCACAGUCGCGUCGUCGUCACACACCAGAGGAGGAGGAGAGCGAUGGGGAGAAGAGGAAGGCCUCAUCGACGUUUGCGCCGUCCCCUCCAACCCGCUUCGCCGCCGUUCGCACCGUCACCUCCAGCCCGCAUCGUCGCCGAUCAUGCUUGCUCUGCCGUCGUGGAGUGAAUCGCCGUCAGGAGCCAAAAUGCGAGAGAGAAGAGCUGCCACAUUCUGCCAUCGCUGAAGGACCCGUCGCCACCAGAUCCGCUGUUGCUUGAACCUCUGGCCGCCGGGCAAGCCCCUGUUGCCAGUGAACAAAACUGUUGUUGCCAAUAGCAACUACCAUCGUUGUCACGGGACUUCUAGUCACCGCUGCCGCUCGAGGUGGUUGUCGAGACUGCCGUUAAACCAGUUCAGUGACCACCACUAUUUCGUUUUCUUAGUUGGGGUCGUGUUCUGAGCAUUGCAUACGUUAUUAAAUUGCUGUAAGUGCUGCAAAAGUGAUCAGGGACUGAGUUUGCGUUUGCUGUUGGUUUCGGGUUGAGCUAAAAGGUUUCAUUGACACGUUUUGGGUUAUGGUUUUAACGAGUUGAGGUUUUUCCUUUUCAGGAUAUAGGCAAGAAAGCUUCAGAAGAGUUAUGUUCAUUUUCUGGUUAUUCGGUAUUUUUGUAUUAUCUUAGUUAUUAUUUUUCCCUCGCCUUUAUCUUUAUUAAUUUUGGAAGAGGGAUCUGAAUUUGUGAUAUGUAUGUUUGUAAGUUAGUGUUAUGUAUAUAUAUAAGUUAAGGUAUUGUAUCUGGUUUGUAUGUACAUAUAUGUUUAUGUUUUCAACGAAAAAGUGUUUUAGAAAGGUUAUGCGAUUUUAAGUUUAAAUAGGCUCCUAUAUUAGUAUUAAAUAUGUUUAGAGUUUUCGUAAUAUCCAAGCUAUCAGAGUGGCGCAGCCGGAAGCGUGACAUUCUGAUAGUGAGGGUGUUACACUAACCCAGAAAAAUGUCAGGCUAUCCUCGAAAUAACCAUCCUGAAAAAAUUGAAGGACGUCCAAAGGCUAACUAGUCGCUUGGCCGCCUUAUCACGCUUCCUGGAGUCUCAGCAUAGAAGGCACUUUCCUUCUUUAAAUUCAUGAAAAAAGGAUUGUUGAGAAAUAGUCUAGAAGCCAGACCUCCCCCGGAUGAAUGCUCUCAUGGACUGUCAAGCUCUCCCAAUACGAAAUCUGUUUUGAGCCCAAGGCGCAAUCAAAGCCCAAUCAAUGGCGAAUUUCCUUGCUAAAAUGACCCCGGGAAAUGAAAUACCAGACCUCUAGAAACUCCAUAUCCACGGAUCCUCAAACAAUAACUCCGACGGAGCUGGAGUAAUUUUGGAAUGUCAUAAUGGAAUAACGAUUGAGUUAUUGAUCCGUUGCGAGUUCUCGUUAUCCAAUAACUAUGCCAAAUACGAAGCACACCUUGCCGGGUUAUCACUAGCAAAGGAGAUCGGCACAAAAAAUUUGGAAGUCUGUAGUGAAUCCCAAGUCAUAAGCUCCCAAUUCAAGGGCAAUUACCAGACACAGGAUCCCCUGCUGUAAAAGUACCUUUCUAAGGUAAAGGAGCUUACCGCUGAAUUCACUUUGGUAAUAACCCAACACAUAUCAAGAAAAAAGAAUGCUAGAGCAGACCUACUUUCCAAGUUGGAAAUCACUAAGCCAUACACGAGGAAUCGAUCCCUGAAACAAGAGAUCGUAAGGACGCCUGCAGUUCUUCCAGAAGGCCCAACAAACUUGCCAAUCUCCAUAGAACCCUCGUGGACUACUCCCAUCACGACCUAUCUGGAAGGUGGCAUGUUACCGACAAAUUCCAAGGAUGCAAAAUGCGUAAAAUGGGAGGUUGCUAAGUACACUGGAUAGUUGGGCAACUGUACAAAUAAGGACUCUCCCAACCCCUUUGAAAAUGCUUAGAACCCCACCAAAUGGACUACAUCCUUUGCGAAAUUCAAGAAGGAUGUUUUGGCCACCAUGUUGGAGGAAAAAUCUUGGCACAAAAGGUCAUCCAACCCACGUAUUUCUAGCUGACAAUCAUCAGAGAUGCACUCCAGUUAGUAAAACAUUGCAAACAAUGCCAAAUAUAUGCCGACUUCCUCCAAGCAACCCCCAGCAACUUAGCACCAUAUCGGCUGAGUGUCCAUUUGGGACCUGGGAAAUCGACCUCAUGGGUCCCUUCCCCACGGCACCAGAACAGGUAAAGUUACUAAUCGUAUCCAUUGACUACUGCACCAAGUGGAUCGAAGCGAAAGCCAUAGCCACAAACACAAUACCCCAAUGCCAAAAAUUCUUCUAGAGGUAAGUCAUAACCCGGUUCGGCAUUCCGGAGGUCAUGAUAUCAGAAAAUAGAACUCAAUUUGCGGACAAGUACUUUCACAAGUUCCUAGAAGGCUUAGGCAUCUCACAAAAGUUUAUCUCAAUAGAACACCUCCAAACGAACGGUCAAGUCGAAGCAGCUAACAAGGUCAUUUUGAAAGGACUAAAGUAGAGGCUGGAUGAGGCCAAAGGACUAUGGGCAGAUGAACUAGGCUCUGUGCUCUGGUCUUACCGAACUUUCCCACAAAGUUCAACCGGAGAAACCCCUUUUAGACUAACUUAUGGAAUAGAAGUUGUGAUUCCUGUUGAGGUCGAAAAGCCAAGACCAAAAAGGACUGUGGGAGGACCCAAUGAAGAAGUAAAAAGGGACCUAGUUGACAAGGACUGAAGCAUAGCCCACUUGAAAGAGCUGACCCUAAAAUAGAGAGUAAGCCUAAGGUACAAUCGUGGCGUGAUAAAGCGUGAGUUCAAACAAGGACAUCUGGUCUUGCGACGCCAAGACAUGGGUCCCCACAUCUUAAGAGAAGGGAAGUUAACUCCCAACUACGAGAAACCCUGCCAAAUUAAGUUCGUAAUUGGAAAGGGAGCAUACAAGAUAGAAAGACUCAACGGGAAUGAGUUACCGAGAUUAUGGAACACCAUGAACGUGCGACGCUACUACUCAUGAACGGGGAUACCUGGAUUGGUAACUUCUAAAUAUCGAUAGAGUUUUAGUUUUCUUUUCUUUAUGCAGCCAUUUUUUCUGUUUUAGACCAAUUUUUGGGCAUUCUUUUCUACCACAAACAAUGGGAGGUUUUAACGAGGCCCAAAUUUCUUUCAACAAUUUCUAAUAAAAUUUUUCAUUUCUCCGACAAAGUUUUUUCAAUACGUCCUCAAACGAGUGAAAUCCAAAAACGAAUAAAAUGGAAACUCGAGAAAAAAUAAAGCGAAUACCCCGACAAUCGAUCACCUCCGAGGCCAAUUAAAUAGAUAUCCAAAAAUAACAAAGCAUAUUAAUCAAAAAACGACCAACCACGAGGCCAAA